rnacentral:rRNA from 1 species
UACGAAGGGUGCAAGCGUUACUCGGAAUUACUGGGCGUAAAGCGUGCGUAGGCGGUCUGUUAAGUCCGUUGUGAAAGCCCUGGGCUCAACCUGGGAAUUGCAGUGGAUACUGGCAGGCUAGAGUACGGUAGAGGAUGGUGGAAUUCCCGGUGUAGCGGUGAAAUGCGUAGAGAUCGGGAGGAACACCUGCGGUGUAGACGGCUUUCUGGACCAUUGCUGACGCUGAGACACGAAAGCGUGGGUAGCAAACAGG